rnacentral:rRNA from 1 species
GACGAACGCUGGCGGCGUGCCUAAUACAUGCAAGUAGAACGCACAGUUUAUACCGUAGCUUGCUACACCAUAAACUGUGAGUUGCGAACGGGUGAGUAACGCGUAGGUAACCUGCCUGGUAGCGGGGGAUAACUAUUGGAAACGAUAGCUAAUACCGCAUAAUAUUGAUUAUUGCAUGAUAAUUGAUUGAAAGAUGCUAUUGCAUCACUACCAGAUGGACCUGCGUUGUAUUAGCUAGUAGGUGAGGUAGCGGCUCACCUAGGCGACGAUACAUAGCCGACCUGAGAGGGUGAUCGGCCACACUGGGACUGAGACACGGCCCAGACUCCUACGGGAGGCAGCAGUAGGGAAUCUUCGGCAAUGGACGAAAGUCUGACCGAGCAACGCCGCGUGAGUGAAGAAGGUUUUCGGAUCGUAAAGCUCUGUUGUAAGAGAAGAACGGGUGUGAGAGUGGAAAGUUCACACUGUGACGGUAUCUUACCAGAAAGGGACGGCUAACUACGUG